rnacentral:rRNA from 1 species
GAGCAGGUACGAAAGUAGGUCUAAGUGAUCCGGUGGUUCUGUAUGGAAGGGCCAUCGCUCAACGGAUAAAAGGUACGCCGGGGAUAACAGGCUGAUACUGCCCAAGAGUCCAUAUCGACGGCAGUGUUUGGCACCUCGAUGUCGGCUCAUCUCAUCCUGGGGCUGGAGCAGGUCCCAAGGGUACGGCUGUUCGCCGUUUAAAGAGGUACGUGAGCUGGGUUUAGAACGUCGUGAGACAGUUCGG